rnacentral:pre_miRNA from 1 species
AGUGUGAUUGCUGGAUGGUAUGGUAAGAGUAUGUUUAGUUUUGUAAGAAACUACCAAACUGUCUUCCAAAGUGGCUGUACCAUUUUGCAUUCCACCAGCAAU